rnacentral:miRNA from 1 species
GCGCGUGUGUGUGUGUGUGUGUGUGUGUGUGUGUUACUGCACACAUGCACGCAUAUGCACACACGCACAUGUCC